rnacentral:rRNA from 1 species
CAGUCGCCACGGUAAUACGAAGGGUGCAAGCGUUACUCGGAAUUACUGGGCGUAAAGCGUGCGUAGGUGGUGGUUUAAGUCCGUUGUGAAAGCCCUGGGCUCAACCUGGGAAUUGCAGUGGAUACUGGGUCACUAGAGUGUGGUAGAGGAUAGUGGAAUUUCCGGUGUAGCAGUGAAAUGCGUAGAGAUCGGAAGGAACGUCUGUGGCGAAGGCGACUAUCUGGGCCAACACUGACACUGGGGCACGAAAGCGUGGGGAGCAAACAGGAUUAGAGACCCCCGUAGUCCCUGUCUCUUAUAC